rnacentral:snRNA from 1 species
AGAAGUGAAGGUGAUCUGGCUAUGAUAAUUGCCACUCCUUUGGUUUCCAGAGUUAAUUUGACUGAGUUAACUGGUUAUGUGCACGUCCCAUUCCUCACUUACUAUGUUAUGUGCAUCCCUCCCUAAAGAGUGUUAGGCUAAAAAGGAUGACAUUCCCCAUUAUAGGAGGGCUGUUCUUGGCCUAGGGGAUAUGUGUACCUGAGCGCCCAUGCUAACACCUUCAAACAAACUCCCAAGAUCCAUCUGUAGCAGAAUGUAGCCAAGCUUCCCAGACUCCAAAUACGUAACUUGGCAUGAAAG